GAGGCCGCCAAAGCAACAAAAGCUCUGCACCGCCGUGGUCUUACUCCAUUGGCCGAAAGGGGGGAUUUCGUCACGAAAGAACUGCCCUAUCAGAGAGGGGUCCGGGAGAGGAAAGCGAGAAAUAAUAAAUGGCAGCGGCUCCUGCCGGUUAGAGCAGAGCGACGCGUUUCAAUGAAAUUGCAGUUACGCUUCCGGUUCCCGUUGAAGUUACGAGCCAUGAAUUGUAAAGAGGAAGAGAGACGUCCCUCGACACAGGGAAGAGCAAAGAAGAGGGGUGCGUGUGAACCUAUUCUGUGAAUCAUUUGAAGGCAAAGCAGGAAGCAACGGAUGGAAACUAAUCAAGGAGACAACCAACCUAGAAUUAAGGAGUACUUUCCUAACAGAGCAAUUAAUCAGUGGAACAGCUUUGCUCCAAAAGUUGUGGGUGCUCCAACACUAUAGAGGUACUGAAGAAGAGAUUGGACAGACAUUUGCCUGAAAUGAUAUAUAGGGUUUCUUGCUUAAACAGAGUGUUGGACUAGAAGAUCUCCAAGGUCCGUUCCAACUCUGUUAUUCUGUAGAUUUAUCUCUCUGAGGUGCCAGGUUGGCAAUUUAGUUGUCAUGCAUGCCACACAAGUGGGCCUGACUAGCUAACUCAUUUAGCUAGGCUAGAGCAGUGUUUCUUAGUGUGGUCUAGGACCUUGGGAUUUCCCUCAGGGGUCCGCCAAAUCAGAAUUAUGUGCCAGCCUAUGUUGAAAAAUGAUGAUCAUGAUGUUUGUCCAUCAUGUUCAAAGUGGACCUUGACAUCUAACAGGUUGUGGGCUGUCCACGAUGUGUCUGCAGGAGGCUGGUAAGGCCUACAGAGGCACAAAAUGUUCUGCCACAUGUUGGGCAGACAUUUGUGGGCACCAUUGUUGCAGCAUUUGCCACUCUGGCUUUGUGGAGUGCUCUCUUCUCUUGUGCUAUGGUUAUUCUUCUGUCUUCUGAUGUCUGGCAGCCUUGGUGGAAAAUAAUACAAUAUUAAAAUCCUAUCGAACUA